GCCGGACGUGGUGGCGGCGCCUGUAAUCCCAGCUACUCGGGAGGCUGAGGCAGGAGAAUCGCUUGAACCCAGGAGGGGCUGGUUGCAGUGAGCCGAGAUGGCGCCACUGCAAUCCAGCCUGGGUGACGGAGCGAGACUCUGUCUUAA
rnacentral:SRP_RNA from 1 species